AAGUGGGUUGAAGCGGAGCCUGUCAGCAAGUGUGAUGCAGCAACAACGGUGCAGUUCAUCAAGAAGGUGAUUUUCCGGUUUGGUUUUCCACACAGUAUCAUUACUGACAAUGGUACCAAUUUAUCCAAGGGCGCUAUGAAGGAGUUCUGUGAACGUGAGCACAUCCGACUUGACGUGUCGUCAAUGGCACACCCCCAGUCCAAUGGACAGGCAGAACGAGCUAAUCAGGAAAUCUUGCGAGGCAUCAAACCCCGGCUUAUGGUCCCAUUGCAAAGAACACCAGGAUGUUGGGUUGAAGAGCUACCAUCUGUAUUAUGGAGUAUCAAUACUACGCCAAACCGGUCCACAGGA
rnacentral:rRNA from 1 species